AGAGUUUGAUCAUGGCUCAGAACGUACGCUGGCGGCACGCCUAACACAUGCAAGUCGAACGAAGUAGCAAUACUUAGUGGCAGACGGGUGAGUAACAUGUAGGUAUCUGCCCUUUGGCCUGGAAUAACACGAGGAAACUUGUGCUAAUACCGGAUAAGUCUUUACGGAGAAAGCUUUAUGCACCAUUGGAUGAGCCUGCACUUGAUUAGUUUGUUGGUGAGGUAAUGGCCUACCAAGACUGUGAUCAAUAGCUGAUUUGAGAGGAUGAUCAGCCACAUUGGGACUGAGACACGGCCCAAACUCCUACGGGAGGCAGCAGUGGGGAAUCUUGCACAAUGGAGGAAACUCUGAUGCAGCGAUGCCGCGUGAGUGAAGAAGGCCCUUGGGUUGUAAAGCUCUUUCGUCGGGGAAGAAAAUGACUGUACCCGAAUAAGAAGGUCCGGCUAACUUCGUGCCAGCAGCCGCGGUAAUACGAAGGGACCUAGCGUAGUUCGGAAUUACUGGGCUUAAAGAGUUCGUAGGUGGUUGAAAAAGUUAGUGGUGAAAUCCCAGAGCUUAACUCUGGAACUGCCAUUAAAACUUUUCAGCUAGAGUAUGAUAGAGGAAAGCAGAAUUUCUAGUGUAGAGGUGAAAUUCGUAGAUAUUAGAAAGAAUACCAAUUGCGAAGGCAGCUUUCUGGAUCAUUACUGACACUGAGGAACGAAAGCAUGGGUAGCGA
rnacentral:rRNA from 1 species